rnacentral:piRNA from 1 species
UGAAAUGAACAGUGCCCAUUGACAUA